CGCGAAACCUUUACACUGCACGAGAGUGCGAUAAGGGGACUCCCAGUGCGAGGGCAUACAGUCCUCGCUUUUCUGGACCGUAGGGAGGUCCAGGAACAAGUGCUGGGCAAGACCGGUGCCAGCCGCCGCGGUAAUACCGGCAGCACGAGUGAUGGCCGAUAUUAUUGGGCCUAAAGCGUCCGUAGCCGGCCAGACAAGUCCGUUGGGAAAUCCACGUGCUCAACACGUGGGCGUCCAGUGGAAACUGUCUGGCUUGGGGCCGGAAGACCCAAGGGGUACGUCCGGGGUAGGAGUGAAAUCCCGUAAUCCUGGACGGACCGCCGAUGGCGAAAGCACCUUGGGAGGACGGACCCGACGGUGAGGGACGAAAGCCAGGGUCUCGAACCGGAUUAGAUACCCGGGUAGUCCUGGCCGUAAACGAUGUCCGCUAGGUGUGGCGCAGGCUACGAGCCUGCGCUGUGCCGUAGGGAAGCCGUGAAGCGGACCGCCUGGGAAGUACGUCUGCAAAGAUGAAACUUAAAGGAAUUGGCGGGGGAGCACUACAACCGGAGGAGCCUGCGGUUUAAUUGGAAUCA
rnacentral:rRNA from 1 species